CAGCCGCCGCGGUAAUACGUAGGGGGCAAGCGUUAUCCGGAAUUACUGGGUGUAAAGGGAGCGUAGACGGUUAAACAAGUCUGAAGUGAAAUGCCGGGGCUCAACCCCGGAGCUGCUUUGAGAACUGUAGAACUGGAGUGUCGGAGGGGUAAGCGAAAUUCCCAGUGUAGCGGUGAAAUGCGUAGAUAUUGGGAGGAACACCGGCGGCGAAGGCGGCUUACUGGACGACAACUGACGUUGAGGCUCGAAGGCGUGGGUAGCAAACAGGAUUAGAGACCCCUGUAGUCCCUGUCUCUUAUAC
rnacentral:rRNA from 1 species